rnacentral:rRNA from 1 species
UGAGUAACACGUAUCCAACCUUCCAUUAACUCGGGGAUAGCCUUUCGAAAGAAAGAUUAAUACCCGAUAGUAUAGCAUUUCCUCCUGGUUUUGCUAUUAAAGAAUUUCGGUUAUUGAUGGGGAUGCGUUCCAUUAGUUUGUUGGCGGGGUAACGGCCCACCAAGACUUCGAUGGAUAGGGGUUCUGAGAGGAAGGUCCCCCACAUUGGAACUGAGACACGGUCCAAACUCCUACGGGAGGCAGCAGUGAGGAAUAUUGGUCAAUGGACGGGAGUCUGAACCAGCCAAGUAGCGUGAAGGAUGAAGGCUCUAUGGGUCGUAAACUUCUUUUAUACGGGAAUAAAGUGAACCACGUGUGGUUUUUUGUAUGUACCGUAUGAAUAAGGAUCGGCUAACUCCGUGCCAGCAGCCGCGGUAAUACGGAGGAUCCGAGCGUUAUCCGGAUUUAUUGGGUUUAAAGGGAGCGUAGGCGGGUACUUAAGUCAGUUGUGAA